rnacentral:rRNA from 1 species
GUCGAGGGGCAGCACGGGUAGCAAUAUCUGGUGGCGACCGGCGCACGGGUGCGUAACACGUAUACAAUCUACCCUUAACAGGGGGAUAGCCCUCCGAAAGGAGGAUUAAUACCCCAUAAUAAAUUGAAUGGCAUCAUUUGAUUUUGAAAGUUCCGACGGUUAAGGAUGAGUAUGCGUCUGAUUAGCUAGUUGGUGAGGUAAAGGCUCACCAAGGCAACGAUCAGUAGGGGAUCUGAGAGGACUACCCCCCACACUGGUACUGAGACACGGACCAGACUCCUACGGGAGGCAGCAGUAAGGAAUAUUGGUCAAUGGAGGCAACUCUGAACCAGCCAUGCCGCGUGCAGGAAGACGGCCCUAUGGGUUGUAAACUGCUUUUGUACGGGAGAAAACCCUUUCACGUGUGAGAGGUUGAUAGUACCGUAAGAAUAAGCAUCGGCUAACUUCGUGCCAGCAGCCGCGGUAAGACGAAGGAUGCAAGCGUUAUCCGGAUUCAUUGGGUUUAAAGGGAGCGUAGGUGGACUUGUAAGUCAGUGGUGAAAUCUCUCAGCUUAACUGAGAAACUGCCAUUGAUACUGCAGGUCUUGAGUACAGAUGAUGUGGGCGGUAUAUGACAUGUAGUGGUGAUAUACUUAGAUAUGUCAUAGAACACCGAUUGCGA